GGAUGUGAGGGUGAUCUCACCUUGACAUCUGUCACCCCAUUGAUCGCCAUUGUUGAUUUGGCUGAUAUGGCUUAUUGGGUGCAUGUCCCUUUCCUCCCUCACCUCUCCAUGUGUCUCUCCCGAAGCUGCGAACUCCGUUGAAGAGGCUGACCACCCCUGAUAGAGGAGGACUGUUUCCUUGUCAAGGGUAUACGAGUAGCUAUGCUCCCCUGCUAGAGCCUCCAGUCAACCUCUCAGGGUCCAUUGAAAGAUUAGUGGGCCUAGUGGAAGAGUAGAUGAAAGGAAGUAAGAGUUUACAU
rnacentral:snRNA from 1 species